rnacentral:rRNA from 1 species
AGAGUUUGAUCCUGGCUCAGAACGAACGCUGGCGGCGUGCCUAACACAUGCAAGUCGUACGAGAAAAUCCGCUUCGGCGGGUGAGUAGAGUGGCGCACGAGUGAGUAACGCGUGGAUAAUCUGCCUUUAAGCUGGGAAUAACUCACCGAAAGGUGGGCUAAUACCCGAUAAUGCUAUGGGACUUCGGUUUUAUAGCCAAAGAGAGCCUCUACAUGUAAGCCUUCACUUAAAGAUGAGUCCGCGUACCAUUAGCUAGUUGGUAGGGUAAUGGCCUACCAAGGCGACGAUGGUUAGCUGGUCUGAGAGGAUGAUCAGCCACACUGGAACUGAGACACGGUCCAGACUCCUACGGGAGGCAGCAGUGAGGAAUAUUGCGCAAUGGGGGCAACCCUGACGCAGCAACGCCGCGUGAGUGAGGAAGGUCUUCGGAUCGUAAAGCUCUGUCGGGUGGGAAGAAGUGUGCAUAGGUUAAUAGCUUGUGCACUUGACGGUACCGCCAAAGGAAGCACCGGCUAACUCCGUGCCAGCAGCCGCGGUAAUACGGGGGGUGCGAGCGUUGUUCGGAAUCAUUGGGCGUAAAGAGCGUGUAGGCGGCUAGGCAAGUCAGAUGUGAAAUCCCUGGGCUUAACCCAGGAAGUGCAUUUGAAACUGCUUAGCUUGAGUAAGGAAGAGGGAAGUGGAAUUCCUGGUGUAGAGGUGAAAUUCGUAGAUAUCAGGAGGAACACCGGUGGCGAAGGCGACUUCCUGGUCCUAUACUGACGCCGAGACGCGAGAGCGUGGGGAGCAAACAGGAUUAGAUACCCUGGUAGUCCACGCCGUAAACGAU